rnacentral:misc_RNA from 1 species
GAAACUUAACUUAAAAACCAAUGAUAUUGAAUCAAGUGGAUAACACAAGGUGCUCUUGAUUUUAUUAUCUGUGUGUCUAUCUCCCUAUUUGCACUUCACAUUAAUGUCCUGAGUAUAAACAGGAAUAUUUUUCAAAAACAAUGUAUAUAUACUUGUACAAUCAAAGAAUUUUUUGGGGAAAAAGUAACCUCAUUAAAAUUGACUGUUAAAAUUUAUGCAAUCUUAAAAGUUAUUUAGCUACAUAUCUCAUGCUUAUUUUUGUAUUUCGGUGAUUUUGUUUGUUCAAUCACUUAGAUUGAUCGUUUUGUAUGUAUUUUAAAAUUACAUGAUGUAUGUGAUAAAAAAUCACGUGAAAAUUUUGAUAAAUUUUAUUAUUAGACAUUU